rnacentral:rRNA from 1 species
AUGAUUCGAUGGCUGCAACCCUUGGAGACACUGAAAGUACAUGCAAAAGUAGUUGCUUUUCCAUCAGAUAUUGUUCUUCUGGAUAGAUUACUGCACCUCCGCCUUCUGAGCGAGUAUAUUCAACACAGUGUAGUUGCCCACAUGACAUCUUUACGCACUCUUGGGUAUUUUGAUAUCGGCAGUCACUCAGAAGAAAAUAUAUUGCAUCUUGGACGGCUGAAAAAUCUUCAGGAUCUUCAGCUCACAUGUACUACUGUACAGCCAGCAGAAAAUCUGGAAAGAAAUGUACAGCUCCUAGGCUCUAUUCUUGCCGAACUCACCGUCUUGCAGUCCCUAACUCUGGUACCAUCUGCUUCAGGCUCGUCUUGUGUAAAUAUCCCUGAGGAUGGCUUCAACAUGGUGACUCCUCCUCCGGACCUGCUUCUUCGGACGAUUGAACUGUCGCGGCACUGUUGCAUCUUCUUCACCCUCCCUAAGUGGUUUGGAGAGCUGAGGAAACUGUGCAUUAUAAAGAUUGCAAUUAGGGAGUUGUCAGGGGAAGAUAUUGAUAUCCUGAAAAAAUUAUCUGCCCUCACUGCUCUCACCCUGUAUAUCCAGAAACCUCCUGCAGGAAGGAUCCUGAUGGACAACGAAGGAUUCCAAGUACUCGCCUACUUCAAGUUCAUGUGUGCUGAACCAUGCAUGUUCUUUGCGCAAGGAGCAGUGCCCAAAGUCCAAAAGCUCAAAUUAGGCUUCAAUUUAAACAAAAUGGAACCACAUGCCAUUGAAAUUGUUGGCUUCCAUCACUUGAUUGGACUUAGAGAGGUCUGUAUAAAAUUUGGGGUUCAGGAUGCUGAGGAAUUCAACAUAAACGAUGCGGAGUCUGAAUUGGAGGCCGCUAUUAGAAAUCAUCCAAACACACCUGUGAUCAGAGUACAGCGUGUUGAUGUGAUUUCUUACACCAUGGAGGAUCAGAGUACCGAGACUGAAGAAAUAGAGGGAAAACUUCAGGAGAUUCAAGAAGGCAAGAAGCAGAUCACGGAACAUUUGGAGGAACAAGAGGAAAAUCUACAGAAGAUUCACAUAGACAAGAAAAUUAUUCAUGUAGAAGAGGAAAAUAGACUGGAGAUUAAUGUGGACAAGAAAAGGAUAUCUGAAAUUUCGGAGAUACAAGACAAAAAUAAACUGGAGAUUCAGGAAGACAAGAAACAGACAAGAAACAGACCACCAACGCAAGUUGAGAGCAGACAUGCGAGAACGGAUCGUGUUUCCAGUCCCCUAAAGCAUCACGCACAAUCACUCGUCUUCGCCAUAGGGGCCAUGGGCUCCCUCCUUCUCAAACUGGGCGAGGUUAUCAAGGAUGAGUACAAGCUACAGAAGGGAGUUCAGAAAAAGGUCAAGUCCUUCUCUGCCGAGCUGGAUGUUAUGCGUGCUGCCCUUGGCAAGGUGGCAGAUGUGCCAUGGGAUCAGCUCGAUGAGCAGGUCAACCUUUGGGCUGCCGAUGUUAGGGAGCUGUCUUACUACAUGGAGGACGUUGUCGACUCUUUCUUGAUGCGUGUUGAGGGUUGUGGCUCCGACGCAAAUCAGGCCAGAUUCAAGAAGCUCAUGGCCAAUAUGGCAAACCAGUUUAAAAAGGGCAAGGCUCGCCAUGAGAUUUCCACAGCAAUCAACGAAAUCCACAAACGGUUGCAAGAUGUCACCAGACGACAUGAAAGGUAUAAUCUUGCUAAUCUACCUGCAGCCACAAGGACCACAGUUGACCCUUUCUUGGAGGUUCUAUAUGGAGAUAAGAAGAAUAUCAUCGGCCUAGAUAAAGCAAGGGACGAUAUUAUCAAGAAGAUCACUGAGGGGGACCUUGUGUCCAAGGCGCAACUCAAGAUACUCUCUAUUGUCGGAUUUGGAGGAUUGGGCAAGACUACACUUGCCAGAGAAGUAUAUGAAACCCUUCCAACAAAAUUUGAUUACAAAGCAUUUGUCUCUGUGUCUCGGAAUCAGGACAUGCAUAAAGUAUUAAGCAAUCUUCUCUUUAAACUUGACAAAAAAAGGCAUGCUAGUCUGAAUGCAGCAAACUUGGACGUUGAGCAGCUCAUCAUCGUAGUCCGAGAAUUGCUUAGAAUGAAAAGGUACUUCAUAAUUAUUGAUGAUUUAUGGAAUAAAGUGGCAUGGACAACAAUCAGAUAUGCACUUAUCGACGAUGGGUGUGGAAGUAUAAUAAUCACUACAACCCGCCUUUUGGAUGUCUCAGAAAUUUGCUGCUCUUCUAAAGAUGAUAUGAUUCAUCAGAUGAAACCUCUCUCUUACCAUGACUCCCAUAAACUUUUCUAUGGAAGAAUAUUUUCAAGUGAAGUGUGUCCUUCUGGAUUCGAGCAAGUAUCCAGAGAGAUCCUGAAGAAAUGUGCCGGGGUGCCAUUAGCCAUCAUCAGUCUUGCUAGUUAUUUGGCUAAUAAUCAGAGGGUCAACCAAAUUGACCAAUGGUAUGUUUUGCUCAAUUCUAUUGGCCAUGGACUUCAAAAUGGUGAUGAUCAUGUCAAGAAGAUGAAGAGGAUAUUAUCAUUGAGCUAUUAUGAUCUCUCUCCUUAUUUGAAGACUUGCCUUUUAUAUCUAAGUAUCUUUCCAGAGGAUCAUCAAAUUAGCAGAGAUGAGUUGAUAAGUAUAUGGAUUUGUGGAGGAUUUAUCCAAGUAAAAGAUGAAACUGCUAGCCUGCUUGAGCUUGGAGAGAGCUACUUCAAUGAGCUAGUAAACAGAAACAUGAUCAUGCCGAUAAACAUACAUGCUGAUGGAAGGGUUGAAGCUUGUUGCGUACAUGAUAUCAUGCUGGAUCUUAUAUUUGAAUUAGCAAGUGGAGAAAACUUUGUUACUAUACUGGAUGUUAUCAAGGGAGGUACACCUUUGGCAAAGAAGUUCUGCAGAUUGGACAUCCAGAAGAGCAUGACAGAUCUCACCAAUGCUCAGAUGGCUACCACAAGCAUGACAAAAGUGAGGUCUUUUAGCAUUUUUAGUCCUGCUAUUACUAAAAGGAUCCCCCCUCUUUCUAUAUUUCAAUUUUUAGGGGUAUUGGAUCUGGAAGGUUGUGAUCUUCAAGGUGUUGACCUUAGGCAUGUUGAGAACUUGUUACUCUUGAGACACCUGGGGUUAAGGGGUACAAAGGUUGGCAAUCUUCCCAAGGAAAUAGGAAAGCUACAGCUUUUGCAGACACUGGACUUGCACUGGACCAAUUCAACAGAAUUGCCGUCGAGUGUUUUUCAGCUGGGGAAUUUGAUGUGCCUAAUCCUUGAUUCAAAUAUGCAACUACCAAAAGGGUUCUGCAACCUGGCAUGCCUUGAACAGCUGAAGGGAGACGGGGUGGGCCAUUUCUCUGCCGACAGUGCAGAAGAGCUGGGCCGCCUGGAUAGGCUAAGGUAG